rnacentral:lncRNA from 1 species
UUUUUAUAUUUAAAAAUAGUAUAGCCGCUCGGCUAUACUCUGUUUUGAAUUUUUUUUUAAAGAAAUAUAUGUGUUGACACGUGGGCAUAAUGGCUGGGGGUCUUUUUUUAUAUUUAAAAAUAGUAUAGCCGCACGGCUAUACGCUGUUUUGAAUUUUUUUUGAAAAAGACACGUGGCCCCUAUUGGUUGGGGACUUUUUUUGUAUUUAAAAAUAGUAUAGCCGCACGGCUCUACUGUUUUGUUUUUUUUUUUAAAAAAAAAAUUUUGUAUAUAACAAAAUAUAGUAGAGGCGGGAGGCGUUACUUUUUUUAUUUUAUAAAUUGAAUUUAAUAUAUAGUGUAGACGAGCGGCUAUAUUCUUUUAC